rnacentral:misc_RNA from 1 species
AUUCAAAUUCUACUAUAAUGAGUCAAUGAUGGAAGACCCAUGGAAAGCAUUGAAGCCGGUUAUAUGGAAGCCACGUGGCGAUACACAGGACUGUCUGAAAUCCCGGCUUCCCAACUCCAUCAGCGCAAAAAGAGCUAAACUUGGAGAGACUCCAACAAAAUCUACUCCCCAGAAAUGCCUCGCUGAAUAUCUGGCUGCCGCUUUCAAUGAAGCAGCUGGUGAAGACUGUGAAUAAUGAAUCUAACACACAAAGCUUUUGAUGCUUGAACUUUUUAGUUAUUUUAAUGUCA